CUAGAUCUGAGUAUAUCAAUAUUACCUUGUUCAGAACUUAAAGAGAAAUCUUGAGUUUAUGGACUUCAGGGGGAGUAUGGUCACAAGGCUGAAACUUAAAGGAAUUGACGGAAGGGCACACCAGGAGUGGAGCCUGCGGCUUAAUUUGACUCAACACGGGAAAACUUACCAAGACCGAACAGUAGAAGGAAUGACAGAUUCAGAGUUCUUUCAUGAUUUAUUGGGUAGUGGUGCAUGGCCGUUCUUAGUUGGUGGAGUGAUUUGUCAGGUUAAUUCCGGUAACGAACGAGACUGAAACCUAUUAAUUAGUUUUCUGCCUAUAAGACAGAAAUGUUCGCAAGAACAGGUGCGUAAGUACCACUUCUUAAAGGGACACAUUUCAAUUGCCCUAUUUUAAUUGUAGUUAUCUAAUUUCGGUU
rnacentral:rRNA from 1 species